rnacentral:tRNA from 1 species
AACAGCGUGGCUCAGUGGAAAGAGCCUGGGCUUCAAAAUCAGAGGUCAUGGGUUCGACUCCCAGCUCUGCCA